rnacentral:rRNA from 1 species
GAGCUGCUCCAAGCGUUAUCCGGAAUUAUUGGGCGUAAAGGGUGUGUAGGCGGUUUUGUUAGUCGGUUGUUAAAGCUCCCCGCUUAACGGGGAAAAUGCAAUCGAAACGGCAAAUCUAGGGGAUGCGAAAGGUGAACAGAACUCAUAGUGUAGGGGUGAAAUCCGUUGAUAUUAUGGGGAAUACCAAAUGCGAAGGCAGUUCACUGGCGCACUUCCUGACGUUGAAACACGAAAGCGUGGGUAGCGAAUGGGAUUAGAUACCCCAGUAGUCCACGCCCUAAACGAUGAUCACUUGUUUUUCGGAGUAUCGACCCUCUGAGAGACGAAGCUAACGCGUUAAGUGAUCCGCCUGGGUAGUACGGCCGCAAGGCUA